GAUGUGAUUAAGGAUGCACUAUUUUUUCCCCGUCUUAUCGACUGUGGUGAAAACCAGCUAAAGUUAAGCCAAUUUUGUCUGAAAUCACAUU